rnacentral:misc_RNA from 1 species
GUCCUAACUAUUUCUUGUUUCUACACGGAGUCUGGAUGAUUGCGCGAAUGGGUGGCAAUCUUCGGAGUCCGUUUCUGAAAUUUCUUAGCGAACGAAGGAAGAGCCGGGAAUUCAUCUUUUGUUAUAUCGAAUCGAUGAAUUAUUGGAAGAUUGGCAUUUUCGAAGGAGAUCCGAUCGAAUCGUCUUCCGCAAACAAAAGAUCCGCAUCCCAAGAUCACGUUGGCAUUAAAUACGAAUAGGUGUACAUCGCGCGUGUACACGUACGUACGUACGUACGUACAUACGUCUCUACCGGUGUCGAGGCGUUACGUACACCUAUGCAAAUCCUUCCGCUACACCCUUCCGAUGACAUCAUCUGCCCGGUGGUAUAUACGAAGCCUGGAUAUCGUUACGCUGCUGUACCUUCGCCAGCUAUAGGGAGAAGAGGGUACGAGGCCUAAGGAUCGAUAAGGUUGGUUCGUUGACUAUAACCCGAAGGCAAUAUAUUCGUAAUUAGUCGACGUCAACUGUUGCCUGACUAGUCCAAAAUUAUUACGUUCAAUUGGCCCGGAGCACGUACGAGAAUCGGGGCCGCGAACUGCGUUGCUACCAAAUUUCUACCCCCGCGAAAAUUAUCGCGGAAAUGACGGCUGGGAAGCCGUGUCCCAGCGCGGUUCCAUUUGAUUUGUUCGCAGGUACGGGAUUCGUCGAGAUUACAAACUCUUGCGGAAACGAUUAUUUUUCUUUAUUGCAGUCAACGUGAAAACAGAAAAUCAGAAAACGUCGCUAUCGUCAAAUCGACGCUAAUCGCUCCUGAUUCCGACGCAAGUGCACAUCUCGUUCACGCAAACUCCUCCGUCGUGUCUGUAAUGCUGACAGCUUAGGUUGCACCUGUUGUGGUUACAGGAAUAAUCAAAAACGUCGCGUCGACGUCUUGUCAAGGUCAGUUUAUCGUCGACGGAUAAUCCCGAGUCCGUGUCGAUAUCUCGGAGAUUAACUGAAAGAGAAGAGGGAGAUGAUGAAAUUUUCACCGCCGUGAUUGUCGCGGUUCGGUCCGAUUCGUCCGAUUCUCAACUCACCACUUUUUUGCUCUCCUCCUCUGACGAGAGCUUCGAAAACACGUUCGGAUUCGAACGGCCCCGCGGACGCGUAAGCGACGAUCGCCAGGACAAUGGCGACUGCGAAAAUCACCCUCAUGACGUAUCCGUUUUAACAGACGU